UACGUAGGGGGCAAGCGUUGUCCGGAAUCAUUGGGCGUAAAGAGCGUGUAGGCGGUUCGGUAAGUCGGCUGUGAAAGUCCAGGGCUCAACCCUGGGAUGCCGGCCGAUACUGCCGGACUAGAGUUCGGAAGAGGCGAGUGGAAUUCCCGGUGUAGCGGUGGAAUGACGCAGAUAUCAGGAGGAACACCAAUAGCGAAGGCAGCUCGCUGGGACGGUAUUGACGCUGAGGCGCGAAAAGCGUGGGGGAGCAAACAGG
rnacentral:rRNA from 1 species